rnacentral:rRNA from 1 species
AUUGAACGCUGGCGGCAUGCCUUACACAUGCAAGUCGAACGGCAGCACGGGUGCUUGCACCUGGUGGCGAGUGGCGAACGGGUGAGUAAUACAUCGGAACGUACCUUAUCGUGGGGGAUAACGCAGCGAAAGCUGUGCUAAUACCGCAUACGCCCUGAGGGGGAAAGCGGGGGAUCGCAAGACCUUGCGCGAUUAGAGCGGCCGAUGCCUGAUUAGCUUGUUGGUGGGGUAAAAGCCCACCAAGGCGACGAUCAGUAGCUGGUCUGAGAGGACGAUCAGCCACACUGGGACGGAGACACGGCCCAGACUCCUACGGGAGGCAGCAGUGGGGAAUUUUGGACAAUGGGGGCAACCCUGAUCCAGCAAUGCCGCGUGAGUGAAGAAGGCCUUCGGGUUGUAAAGCUCUUUUGUCAGGGAAGAAACACCGGCUCUAACACAGUCCGGGAAUGACGGUACCUGAAGAAUAAGCACCGGCUAACUACGUGCCAGCAGCCGCCGCCG